rnacentral:sRNA from 1 species
AAAAGUAUUUGAACAGCCCAGGCGCGGUGGCUCACACCUGUAAUCCCAGCACUCUGGGUGGCCGAGAUGAUGAUUAUUCUCCACCGUCUAAGAGACCAAAGGCCAAUGAGCUACCGCAGCCACCAGUCCCGGAACCCGCCAAUGCUGGGAAGCGGAAAGUGAGGGAGUUCAACUUCGAGAAAUGGAAUGCUCGCAUCACUGAUCUACGUAAACAAGUCGAAGAAUUGUUUGAAAGGAAAUAUGCUCAAGCCAUAAAAGCCAAAGGUCCGGUGACGAUCCCAUACCCUCUUUUCCAGUCUCAUGUUGAAGAUCUUUAUGUAGAAGGACUUCCUGAAGGAAUUCCUUUUAGAAGGCCAUCUACUUACGGAAUUCCUCGCCUGGAGAGGAUAUUACUUGCAAAGGAAAGGAUUCGUUUUGUGAUUAAGAAACAUGAGCUUCUGAAUUCAACACGUGAAGAUUUACAGCUUGAUAAGCCAGCUUCAGGAGUAAAGGAAGAAUGGUAUGCCAGAAUCACUAAAUUAAGAAAGAUGGUGGAUCAG